ACAAGCACAACGUGUGUAAAAAAUUAUAAUGGAAACAAUUUUUUUGAAUAUUAUAACGAAUGUGUCAUUAUUUAAACUUUACUUCACGGUAAUAAUCAUGAUUUUAUAUGAACAUAUUAUGGGACAAUUAAUAUUCCUGGCCGAGUCCCCAAGCCUAAGCAAAAAUACACCUACACUAGGUUACCCUAGGAAAUUCAAUCAUAAAUAAACUUUUUUUCACUUUCUUACACCUAAGAUCAUUUGAAUGGCUGUGUAUUUGUAUCGGAGUGCAGGAAGGAGAGCGGGACGGAUAAAAUGACCAAGUCUUUCGGAUGAGAGUCCUGGAGAGAAGCGCGUGUAUUUAUUGUGACGCCACUGAGUUACCGGCGACAUACGUAUAACAUUUCAGACUCAAUGGCGUAAACAGCGGCUGAAAAACAACGGCUUUAUAGGCAAAAAAAAUGAGAAAUAUUUCUUAGUAUUAAGUUGUUAUAUUUUCAGCGAUUUUAAUGUUUGAUAUUAAACAAAGAGUUCUGUUAAUUUUAGUUUGAUAGUUUUUUUCACAUUAUGAUUAGUUUUAAUUGAAGAAAGUAUAAAGAUUGUGAUUGAGAUACCACUGUGUUACCAAUUAACCACAGCGUUAUCUAUUUGUCCCUCGUUUCCUGAGAGUAUUCACAAACAUUUUAGCUACUCUAUAUUAGAAAGAAUGUUAAACUAAAUAUAAUAAUUAAAAAUUCACCUUAUUUAGAGCUAUUUCUAAAACUUUGAGCAAAAAAUUAUGAUUAUUUUGUCCUUUUUUCGAAAAGUAUUGCAUUAAAACUUAUUGAUUGGUAACGCAGUGGGAAACUUUAUUAUAGAAUGAAUAACAAAACUGAGAAUAUUUUGUAAUUUAAACUGUUAGAUUAAUGUUUUUUUUCUUACUUUUUAUCUGGUAUAUGUUUACGAACCAAAAUAUAUGUUCCUAACAAUAAAACAUAAUUUUGUAUGAAAGUAA